rnacentral:rRNA from 1 species
CUCCAUGAAGCUGGAUUCGCUAGUAAUCGCGCAUCAGCCACGGCGCGGUGAAUACGUUCCCGGGCCUUGUACACACCGCCCGUCAAGCCAUGGAAGCCGGGAGUGCCUGAAGUGCGUGAGCGCAAGCAGCGCCCUAAGGUAAAACCGGUGACUCGGGGCUAAGUCGUAACAAGGUAAC